UACGGAGGGUGCAAGCGUUGUCCGGAAUCACUGGGCGUAAAGGGCGCGUAGGCGGCCCGGUAAGUAGGGGGUGAAAUCCUGCGGCUUAACCGCAGGGCUGCCUUCUAAACUGUCGGGCUCGAGCACGGUAGAGGCAGAUGGAAUUCCCGGUGUAGCGGUGGAAUGCGUAGAGAUCGGGAAGAACAUCAGUGGCGAAGGCGGCGAUCUGGACGAUGACUGACGCUGAGACGCGAAAGCGUGGGGAGCAAACAGG
rnacentral:rRNA from 1 species